rnacentral:sRNA from 2 species
UACUAGCAAUCUCCGUGAGCCAAACACGGAUGUGGUUUCAAGAGAUUCUGAGGUCUUUCAGCAUCCAAGGACUCUUUGCUGUUGACAUGAUAUUAUACCACAGUCUGGUGAGCUGCCUCCCUCGCACUCAGAGCCACAGUUGACAGAAUGCCGCAAGUCCCCAGCUACAAAUGCGGGAAAGCAAAAUCUGACCCUACACAGACAUUGAAUCCUGCCAGAGAGUUGUUACCAAAAUCAAGGGUAGGAAUUGUUUCGAAUGAAAAUGAGAGCUUCAGCCAAGUGGUCACUUCCCCACCUAGCAAGUGUUCAUGAGCGCGUCAAGCAGGCCCUGAAAAACAA